AGUUUGAUCCUGGCUCAGGGGGAACGCUGGCGGCGUGGAUAAGGCAUGCAAGUCGAACGAGAAAGGACACCUAUUUAUAGGAGUCUGAGUAAAGUGGCGAACGGGUGAGUAACACGUGAACAACUUACCCCUCAGCGGGGGAUAACGCAGGGAAACCUGUGCUAAUACCGCAUAUGUCAUUGCGACUAUGUCGCUCUAAUGAAAGGUGGGGACCUUCGGGCCUACCACUGAGGGAUUGGUUCGCGCCCCAUUAGCUUGUUGGUGAGGUAACGGCUCACCAAGGCGACGAUGGGUAGCCGGCCUGAGAGGGUGACCGGCCACACUGGGAUUGAGAUACGGCCCAGACUCCUCCGGGAGGCAGCAGUCGAGAAUCUUCGCGAUUUAGCGCAAGCUAGAGCGAGUGACGCCGCGUGUGGGAAGAAGGCCUUAUGGGUUGUAAACCACUGUCAGGAGGGAAGAAUAGCGGGUAGUAUAAUACGCUGCCCGUGUGACGUUACCUCCAGAGGAAGCUCCGGCUAACUCCGUGCCCAGCAGCCGCGGUAAUACGGGGGGAGCAAGCGUUGUCCGGAAUCAUUGGGCGUAAAGGGCACGUAGGCGGAUUGGUAAGUCGGAUGUGAAAUCCCACGGCUCAACUGUGGAACUGCGUUCGAAACUGCCAAUCUUGAGUACGCGAGAGGUAUGCGGAAUUCCUGGUGUAGCGGUGGAAUGCGUAGAUAUCAGGAAGAACACCGGUGGCGAAGGCGGUAUACUAGCGCGAUACUGACGCUGAGGUGCGAAAGCGUGGGGAGCAAACGGGAUUAGAUACCCCGGUAGUCCACGCCGUAAACGAUGGGCACUGGGUUUUGGAGGUCUCAACCCCUUCAGAGCCGUAGUUAACGCGUUAAAUGCCCCGCCUGGGGAAUACGGUCGCAAGGCUGAAACUCAAAGGAAUUGACGGGGGCCCGCACAAGCGGUGGAGCAUGUGGUUUAAUUCGAUGCAACGCGAAGAACCUUACCAGGGUUUGACAUGGGAGCCCUGCCUUCGGGUGGGGUCAGUCCUGUGAAAGCAGGAUUCGUCCACACAGGUGCUGCAUGGCUGUCGUCAGCUCGUGUCGUGAGAUGUUGGGUUAAGUCCCGCAACGAGCGCAACCCUUGCUUCUAGUUACCAUCGGGUAAUGCCGGGGACUCUAGAAGGACUGCCGGUGAUAAACCGGAGGAAGGUGGGGAUGACGUCAAGUCAUUAUGGCCCUUACGCCCUGGGCUACACACGUGCUACAGUGGUCGGUACAAUGGGGAGCGAUGCCGCGAGGUGGAGCAAAUCCCAAAAAGCCGGCCUCAGUACGGAUUGGAGUCUGCAACUCGACUCCAUGAAGCUGGAAUCGCUAGUAAUCGCGUAUCAGCACGACGCGGUGAAUACGUUCCCGGGCCUUGUACACACCGCCCGUCAAGCCAUGGAAAUCGGCAGCACUCGAAGUCGCCGGCCCAACCUUGUGAGGGAGGCGCCGAAAGUGAGGCCGAUAACUGGGGCUAAGUCGUAACAA
rnacentral:rRNA from 1 species